rnacentral:rRNA from 1 species
CUGGAGGUUGUGCCCUUGAGGCGUGGCUUCCGGAGCUAACGCGUUAAGUCGACCGCCUGGGGAGUACGGCCGCAAGGUUAAAACUCAAAUGAAUUGACGGGGGCCCGCACAAGCGGUGGAGCAUGUGGUUUAAUUCGAUGCAACGCGAAGAACCUUACCUACUCUUGACAUCCAGAGAACUUUCCAGAGAUGGUUUGGUGCCUUCGGGAACUCUGAGACAGGUGCUGCAUGGCUGUCGUCAGCUCGUGUUGUGAAAUGUUGGGUUAAGUCCCGCAACGAGCGCAACCCUUAUCCUUUGUUGCCAGCGGUUCGGCCGGGAACUCAAAGGAGACUGCCAGUGAUAAACUGGAGGAAGGUGGGGAUGACGUCAAGUCAUCAUGGCCCUUACGAGUAGGGCUACACACGUGCUACAAUGGCGCAUACAAAGAGAAGCGACCUCGCGAGAGCAAGCGGACCUCAUAAAGUGCGUCGUAGUCCGGAUUGGAGUCUGCAACUCGACUCCAUGAAGUCGGAAUCGCUAGUAAUCGUAGAUCAGAAUGCUACGGUGAAUACGUUCCCGGGCCUUGUACACACCGCCCGUCACACCAUGGGAGUGGGUUGCAAAAGAAGUAGGUAGCUUAACCUUCGGGAGGGCGCUUACCACUUUGUGAUUCAUGACUGGGGUGAAGUCGUACGG